AGUUGAUAGUGCAUCUGUCAGGAGGUCAAGAAUCGGAGGGAGGUGAAAAAUGAGGAGCAGGAGAAAAGCCAGCAGAUAGCCAGACUAGAAGAGGAGCUCCACAGGGUACAGUGAGUUCUUUGUGGAGAACUCUGUCCAUAAAGGAAGGAGAGCUGUUCACUGCUAAAGGCCAGCAGGAUGAAUUGAGACAGAGGCUGAAGAACCAGUUGGGCCAGCUACAGGCCAUGUCCAGGAAGGUAGUGAAGGACAGUUCACCUGGUUAUGUGAUGGGAAAACCAAUGAUGGUGAUGCUGGAGGAGAAGAAUGACACCCUGAGGCAG